rnacentral:rRNA from 1 species
GUUUGAUCAUGGCUCAGGACGAACGCUGGCGGCGUGCUUAACACAUGCAAGUCGAGCGAUGAAGCUUCCUUCGGGAAGUGGAUUAGCGGCGGACGGGUGAGUAACACGUGGGUAACCUGCCUCAAAGUGGGGGAUAGCCUUCCGAAAGGAAGAUUAAUACCGCAUAACAUAAGAGAAUUGCAUGAUUUUCUUAUCAAAGAUUUAUUGCUUUGAGAUGGACCCGCGGCGCAUUAGCUAGUUGGUAAGGUAACGGCUUACCAAGGCAACGAUGCGUAGCCGACCUGAGAGGGUGAUCGGCCACAUUGGAAGUGAGACACGGUCCAGACUCCUACGGGAGGCAGCAGUGGGGAAUAUUGCGCAAUGGGGGAAACCCUGACGCAGCAACGCCGCGUGGGUGAUGAAGGUCUUCGGAUUGUAAAGCCCUGUUUUCUGGGACGAUAAUGACGGUACCAGAGGAGGAAGCCACGGCUAACUACGUGCCAGCAGCCGCGGUAAUACGUAGGUGGCGAGCGUUGUCCGGAUUUACUGGGCGUAAAGGGUGCGUAGGCGGAUGUUUAAGUGGGAUGUGAAAUCCCCGGGCUUAACCUGGGGGCUGCAUUCCAAACUGGAUAUCUAGAGUGCAGGAGAGGAAAGCGGAAUUCCUAGUGUAGCGGUGAAAUGCGUACAGAUUAGGAAGAACACCAUUGGCGAAGGCGGCUUUCUGGACUGUAACUGACGCUGAGGCACGAAAGCGUGGGUAGCAAACAGGAUUAGAUACCCUGGUAGUCCACGCCGUAAACGAUGGAUACUAGGUGUAGGGGGUAUCAACUCCCCCUGUGCCGCAGUUAACACAAUAAGUAUCCCGCCUGGGGAGUACGGUCGCAAGAUUAAAACUCAAAGGAAUUGACGGGGGCCCGCACAAGCAGCGGAGCAUGUGGUUUAAUUCGAAGCAACGCGAAGAACCUUACCUGGACUUGACAUCCCUUGCAUAGCCUAGAGAUAGGUGAAGCCCUUCGGGGCAAGGAGACAGGUGGUGCAUGGUUGUCGUCAGCUCGUGUCGUGAGAUGUUAGGUUAAGUCCUGCAACGAGCGCAACCCUUGUUAUUAGUUGCUACCAUUAAGUUGAGCACUCUAAUGAGACUG